AGAUUGAACGCUGGCGGCAUGCCUUACACAUGCAAGUCGAGCGGAAAGGCCCUUCGGGGUACUCGAGCGGCGAACGGGUGAGUAACACGUGAGCAACCUGCCCUUAGCUUCGGGAUAGCUCCGGGAAACCGGAAUUAAUACCGAAUAUGACUUUGGCUGACAUCAGCAGAAGUGGAAAGUUUUUCGGCUAGGGAUGGACUCGCGGCCUAUCAGCUAGUUGGUGAGGUAACGGCCCACCAAGGCGACGACGGGUAGCC
rnacentral:rRNA from 1 species